rnacentral:rRNA from 1 species
CCUACGUGAGGCAGCAGUGAGGAAUAUUGGUCAAUGGGCGCGAGCCUGAACCAGCCAAGUAGCGUGAAGGAUGACUGCCCUACGGGUUGUAAACUUCUUUUAUAAAGGAAUAAAGUGAGGCACGUGUGCCUUUUUGUAUGUACUUUAUGAAUAAGGAUCGGCUAACUCCGUGCCAGCAGCCGCGGUAAUACGGAGGAUCCGAGCGUUAUCCGGAUUUAUUGGGUUUAAAGGGAGCGUAGAUGGGUUGUUACGUCAGUUGUGAAAGUUUGCGGCUCAACCGUAAAAUUGCAAUUGAUACUGGCAGUCUUGAGUACAGUUGAGGUAGGCGGAAUUCGUGGUGUAGCGGUGAAAUGCUUAGAUAUCACGAAGAACUCCGAUUGCGAAGGCAGCUUACUAAACUGCCACUGACAUUGAUGCUCGAAAGUGUGGGUAUCAAACAGGAUUAGAUACCCCAGUAGUC